GCGAAAGUAGCCGAGAUGGUCAAGGCACUAGACUGAAAAUCUAGCCAUAUAGGUUCGAGUCCUGUCUUUCGCA
rnacentral:tRNA from 1 species